GCGCCAUAACCAGUAUAACCAAAAUCUUGCAAAAGAGAUAAAUUUUCGCUAGAUUUUUGGGCUUCAAACAUACAGUUGCUUUCGGUGACGCCACAAGUAUAAUUAUACUAGAAAUCUUUUAUCUCACUACUAGGUGAAUUACUUGUUGAUCUGUGUAUUGAUAUAUCAUCCAACAUUUACCUCAUUAUUGAACGCAAUGCCUAAUCCAAGGAAUAAAUACUAGAACUCAAUGUUUCUUUAUCAACACAUUAUUUUGUAUUUGAAGUGAACUAAUAUAUUGAUUUUUGAGAAAUAGUUCAUUUAUUAUAAAGGUAAUUCACAAAAUGUUCUCAACAUCGAAUUCCUUGAAUCAGAUGUGUUUUCAUACCCCGAUAUUCAAAAUCGGUUUAGUUUUGCCCCUAAAACACCAGUAAAGCAAUACUCUGUAUGAAACAAUCUCAUUUUUAAUUAGUGGAAAUUGGUAAGCGAGGACUAAAAAUAUAAAAUGGUUAAUAUCUCUUCCGCUCGUGCACAGAUUUAGACAAUCUAUAGCUUGUUAGAAAGGUAUUUCUAUUUAUGUGCAGUUUGUGGGACAAUAUUGUAUUGUUCGAAAGUUAUUUGCAAAAAACCUGCUAUGUUUUGACAAAAUCGCUCAUAUCUCAGAAAGUAAACAACAUAUCGAAAAUCAAAAAUAAUAGUGUCAAAUGGCAACGUUAGGCCUUUCAUUUGAAACUGAUUUCAAUUAGAUCGGUUCAGCCAUUGCUGAGAUAAUUACAUGACAUUUUGUACAUACAUACAUACACACAUACACACACACACAUACAGACAUUGUCUCAAUUUGUCGAGCUGAGUCGAUUGGUAUAUGAGACUCGGCCCUCCGGGCCUCGGGAAAAGUUUUCAAAAUUUGAGCGAAUCCUAUACAUUUCUUUUGUAAGAAAUGUAAAAUCAUGAAUUUUCAACAGAACCCAGUGAAAGCAGUAAUUGUGAGAUUUUCCUGGUCGUCAUUAUGUUUGAGGAGUAUUUAUUCAUUGACUAGGGCAAUUUUACACAUGACGAUUUUGGAUAAAGGAUUUGACUCGCAAGUAUAAUAAUAAGAAGCCGGGUAGUGCAAAUAAGUGUAGAUUCAACCGCGAAAAAGUGUAGAUUCAACCGUGGAAAUAAUUCGGCUUUUCCAAGAGGAAAGCUUUUAAUAACAUUCAUAGGCAGGCCUGUUUUGUUUCUACAUUAUUGAUUGUUGUUAAGAACAAGCGAUUUUUUGAUAAUGAAAAUGUUUUGUGUUCAUAAAUCCCGGGCUAAAAUUCGUGAUCAUGUUCAGGAAAUGUAAGAUUUCUUUUGUUCGUCUUUAAAUUUUUUGUGCAACUAGUAAAAAGCUGAUAAAUUUACUUUCACUAGCAAUUCGUCAAAUUAAAUGAUCAAAUUACUGAAUAAGUCAGCAAUUCUCAGCUGAAAGUUUUCUGAGUAUUUUUGGCGCUUGGAUAAAAAAGGAAUGUUGCGGAGAGUUUGGUAGCAGAAUUGGUUUACUAAAUACUGAACGGCUUGCUGUUUAAAACCCAAGUAAAAUUUUCCGGUACUCAAUAAUUCAAACUAAGUGUGUAAUCUAUGUACGUUUGGUGGAGCAAAUUAAUAGACUUUUGAGCACUAAUAUUAAGACACUUUUAAUUAAACAUUGUAACGUACGUAGUGAUUAAGCAAAAUCUAUAGCAUCUGGUGUCCAAUAAGUCAGAAGCGCAACAUUCAAAACUGCGGAAAAUCAGCAAAACUGGCAUCCCGCCACACGUCAAUAAUGAAACGCACGCAGCCAGCAUCACGCACACAAGCAAUGUAAUUUCUGCAUCACACCUUGGAGAAAGGUUGGCAAGAGAACCGGAAAACUUAAAUCGUCAUUCGUGUAGUGUUGGUGUUAGAAGGUAGCCGGUGCAGUUUUGGUUGUGCCAAAUCGUUUGGUACGGUGGACAUUUUGUCCUUGGCACAAGCACACCUCGGGAAAACCUGCGUCCCAUCAAUCGUAUUGACCGUCGUUGUUUGAAGGAAUUGGCAAAACCAAUUUGAACCUUAUUCGACGGCGUCGCUUAGAAACCGAAGCUGACAGCAGACCGGUUCCAGAAAAGCAGUAACGGCGAAAUCAACACACGGAGGUCGAAUAAAUAAAUCGGUUCGCCCAGCAAACGAAAGAAAAGGACAUUCAACUAGCACGCUACCACGUACUUCUGCCAUCAAGUAAGGUUAGGUUGAAAUUAUUGAAAUCGCCCUGCUAACCGCUUACGCUUGCAGCACUAAUAGUGGCGAUUCACUAAUUGGACAGGUUGAGCAACAAACCUUAAAUUACACUCAACUGAAAGGAGCCGAUCGGAUCGGAAACGAAAGCGUCCAAAAGGAUACUCAGAUCACGUCACUCCGUGCUUCUGUCACCAAGACACAUUUGGGAGUGACAGACUAGUAAGCGUUACCGACAGCGAGCACAAUAUCCAACUGAUAAUUUCCCUCGCAGUCGCUCAGCUUCCGACGAUACAUAUUCAUGCAAGUGCGCUGACGUCGAGAAAUAAUAAGGGUGCGAGAGCUUUAUGUCGGUGGUUGGACAAGAGGAAGUACGGGCAAUUCGGUUCACGGUCAUUAGCAAACAAUCGCCCCCAAGAGGGUAAGGGUAUCCUAAGAAGUAUAUCGUAAGAAAGGGCUAACACAGCUUGCCCUUUAGGGCCUUUUUGUUUGUUUGAAAUUCCUUUUAAGGUGCGCCCAGCGCGGGAGUAAGGAGUGUGCACAUUUAGUCGUGCAUCCGAUAUCGAUCACUCCAAGCAAGGAACGAGAUCAUUCAGAUCCGCGUUCUCGAAAUCGCCGCCAGAACGAAAUCUAUGAUGCGAAGCGAAUCGAGGUGAACCGGAAUGACGUGUGGACGGUGUGAUGCUCGGCCGGUAAAGAUGAUGAUCGUGUGCGUGAGUAGGAAAAGUGACCAUUGUAUGCGUGUAGCAAUAGGACAAGCAGGGAGCAAGCAUAGAAUAUUAUUGUAAGGAUGUAAUCGAGGGAGAAAAGAAUAUAAGUGAGAUGCGAUUAUAGAUUUUGGCUUUGUGUAUUUUGUUGGUGGCAUUUUCAGUCCA